rnacentral:rRNA from 1 species
AUGGUGCGGCUUCUCGGGCUGCGGGGCCUCAGCUUCGGGCCUGAGGAGUCGCCGCGAGAGAUCACGGCCGCCGGCGGAGAUGCCGCGCCCCCUGUGGGGAGCAGCGGCUGGCUCGUCCGCUUCUUCGACUCCGCGUUCUUCUGCGAGUGGAUCGCCGUCAGCUACCUCUACAAGCACGACCACGCCGGCGUGCGCGACUACCUCUGCAACCGGAUGUACACGCUCCCGCUCUCGGGCCUCGAGGCCUACCUCUUCCAGGUCUGCUACAUGCUCGUGCACAAGCCCAGCCCCUCCCUCGAUCGCUUCGUCAUCGACACCUGUGCCAAAUCCCUGCGCAUCGCGCUCAAGGUGCAUUGGAUCCUCGCUGCUGAACUCGAGCUAGAGGAAACCGAGGAUCUGGAUGGGAUCGAUAAGGUGCAGGAGCAGUGCCAGGCUGCAGCCACCGUGCAGGGCGAGUGGCCGCCGCUAGUCCGACCUGCGCCGCUGUCCCCUGUUGCCAGCCCACGCGGCAAUCCCAUGCUCAGCAGGAUACGCUCGUCAAAGCAGCGACUGAUGUCCCUUGCCUCGUCGCCCUCUCUUGGUUUGAGUCCCCCUCCCAGCAGCACCAAUGUGUCUGCUGCUGAGGAUGCUGGAGUCGGCAAAGGGAAGCAGCCAGUAACACCAUCUUCGGAGGACAACAAGCUGCUUAGGCGAUUGAGCAUCGGGCCAAAGGCCUUCUUUAGGCGGUCUGUGGAGAAGGACGAGGAACAGGAUAAGGAUGGGUUCUUUAAGAGAUUGCUUAGAGACAGCAAGGACAAGGAGGAGGAUGAUGGAGACAAGGAAGGUUUUUUUAAAAGGUUGCUUAAGGAUAGCAAGGAGAAAGAGAAUGAUGAGGAAGAAGGGGAUAAAGAUGGUCUCUUCCGUAGGUUGCUUAGGGACAGCAAGGAUGAGGACAUGGAGCUCACACCUAACUCGGACGGUUUGCUGAAGAGACUCUUCCGUGACAAGGAGGACAGACCGGGCGACGAUGACGAGAAGGAAGGUUUUUUUCGCAGGAUAUUCAAAGAUAAGAAUGAGGAGAGGAGAGAAAGCAUGCAUGGAAGGCUUGGGGAUGAGGAAAGAGUAGGUAAGAGUUUGGAGGAUGAUGAUAGGGAAGGGUUCUUUCGCAAGAUCUUCAAAGAUAAGAAUGAAGAGAAGAAAGAUGGAGGCAGUCAUAAGCAAAAUGAUGAUAGAGAAAAGGUCGGCGUGAACACCGAAGAGGACAAGAAGGAUGGCUUUUUCCGGCAACUUUUCAAGGAGAAAAAUGAUGAGAAAAAGGAAGGCACCACUCCCAGCAGGAAGGAGGACGAUAACAAAGGCAAUAAGAGCAUAGACGACGAUAAUUUCUUUCGCAGAAUUUUCAAGGAUAAGAGUGAAGAAAAGAAGGGAGCUGCCCAUGACAGGAAUGAGGAUGAGAAGUGUGAGGAAGGUGAUAAGGAAAAUUUCUUCAGGAAACUAUUCAAGGACAAAGACAAACAUGAGGACAGGAGAAUCGAAGGGCUUGAUAAAAAUGAUGAUGAUGGUAAGAGCACCAGUGGUAUUGAGGAGGAGGAAAAUUCAGAGUUCUUGUCAUUCCGCAGGUUGUUCCGAGUGCACCCAGAAGACGCUAAGAGUGGACAUAUAGAAGGUAGUCAGCCUAACGGUAUUUCUGAGGGUAGCCCGGGAUCAGAGAGCUUUUUCAAGCGUUUAUUCCGUGAUAGAGAAGAUUCUGAGACUUUUGGCUCAAAGUUAUUGAAAGAGAAACACCCUGAUUCCACAGGAAACAGUGAGAAACAAAGUGGAAAACCACCUUUACCAAAUAAUGUGCUGGCAGAACUGCGGAAAGGCUCUUACUAUGCUUCAUUGGAGCUAGUUCAAUCAUUAUGUGAUACAUCUUAUGGUCUCGUAGACAUAUUUCCGGUGGAAGAUCGCAAGAUUGCCUUGCGAGAGUCUCUUACAGAGAUCAAUUCACAUAUCGCUUCCAGUGAGAAAAAUGGAGGCGUAUGCUUCCCAAUGGGAAGGGGCAUAUAUCGAGUGGUUCAUAUACCUGAAGAUGAGUCUGUUCUUCUAAACUCUAGGGAGAAAGCUCCCUAUCUUGUAUGUGUUGAAGUUUUGAAAGCAGAAACACCAAGUCACUCCAAAGGGUCCUCAGAUGUGAACAAACUAUCAAAAGGCGGGAUACCGUUGGCUAAUGGAGAUGUUCAGUUGCCAAAGCCGCCUCCAUGGGCAUAUCCUUUGUGGAGUCGACAUGAACCACAAAAUUAUGAAACAGACAGAAUGCUGAACUCUACCUCUCAGGUUAUUGACCAAGCCAUGGCUCAACUAUGGGAGGCCAAAGUGAAAUUUGUAAAUGUUAGUUUCUCUAUCGAGAAAAUUGGUCGUUCUAGAAGCAUUGCAAUGUCUGAGUCGGGGCGUAGGAUACGGCAACCUACAACAGAGUCACAUGAUCUAUCAGGAGAUUCCCAGGCUGUUGUUGAUCAACCUAUUGAGUGGGUAAAGGUCACCCUGUCUGCGGUUCCAGGAGUUAACAUGGAAGAUGUAGAUGACAAUGAACCGACACGGAAGAAGGAUCAUCGCCGUGUUCCAAGCACUAUUGCAAUGGAGGAAGUCAAGGCUGCAGCGUUAAAAGGAGAAGCCCCACCUGGUCUUCCACUGAAAGGAGUUGGUCAAAGCACUGAAAAUUUGGAUCCUAUGGCAACUGAUGGCGGAGAUCCUAAACCAACUGAUGCUUUGGCUGGUGAACUUUGGACUGUCAAGAAAGAGAGAAUACGCCGUUCUUCAGUUCAUGGAAAAUUACCUGGCUGGGAUUUGCGUUCUAUUAUUGUCAAGAGUGGGGAUGAUUGCCGACAGGAGCACUUAGCUGUACAGCUUGUCGCACACUUUUAUGAUAUAUACCAAGAAGCUGGCUUACCACUCUGGUUACGGCCUUAUGAAGUUAUCGUCACGUCUGCAUAUGCAGCCCUAAUAGAGACUAUUCCUGAUACGGCAUCAAUUCAUUCCAUCAAGAGUAGGUUUCCCAACAUCUUAAGUCUUCGUGACUACUAUGUAGCCAAGUAUGAAGAGAAUUCUCCAAAUUUCAAACUUGCGCAGAGGAACUUUGUGGAAAGCAUGGCAGGAUAUUCAAUUCUGAGCUACCUGCUGCAGGUCAAGGAUCGCCAUAACGGGAAUCUCUUGAUAGACGAGGAGGGACAUAUUAUUCAUAUUGAUUUUGGUUUCAUGCUUUCCAACUCUCCUGGAGGGGUAAAUUUUGAGAGUGCACCAUUUAAGCUGACGAGGGAGCUCCUUGAAGUGAUGGAUUCUGAUGCUGAGGGAACUCCCAGCGAGUUCUUCGACUAUUUCAAGGUGCUAUGCAUUCAAGGGUUUCUUACUUGUCGGAAGCAUGCAGAGCGUGUUAUACUUCUUGUGGAAAUGUUGCAGGAUUCUGGCUUCCCGUGCUUUAAAGGUGGUACUCGCACUAUACUGAACUUGAGGAAGAGGUUCCACUUGAGUCUCACUGAAGAGCAAUGUGUAUCGCUGGUGCUCUCAUUGAUCAGUAGCAGCAUGGAUGCCUGGCGUACUCGGCAGUAUGAUUACUACCAGAGAGUAUUGAAUGGGAUUUUAUGA